GCUCUGAUGGCCGAAUGGUUAGAGCGUCUAUCUCGGAUGCUGGAGGUUGUGGGUUCGAUCCCCGGCCAAGUCUGCGGCA